AAUCACUUGUCUUUNAAAUGAAGACCCGUAUGAAUGGCACCACGAGGGCUUAGCUGUCUCCUUUUUCAAGUCAAUGAAAUUGAUCUCCCCGUGCAGAAGCGGGGAUAANUACAUAAGACGAGAAGACCCUAUGGAGCUUCAGACCUAGUGCAGAUCACGAAAAAUACUUUAAGACAAAAAAGAAAAGCCCAAUGACCCCUGCACACUGUCUUUGGUUGGGGCGACCGCGGGGAAAAACAAAACCCCCACGAGGACUGAGAGUUUUACUCCUAAAACCAAGAGCCACAGCUCUAAGUAUCAGAAAUUCUGACCUAAAUGAUCCGGGCAACCGAUCAACGAACCGAGUUACCCUAGGGAUAACAGCGCAAUCCCCUUCCAG
rnacentral:rRNA from 1 species